rnacentral:lncRNA from 1 species
AGAAGUGCCAGCUACUGAAGCAAAAAAAAGGACCUGAUACACAUUGUAAUCAAUGACUGCUGAUAUACCUGAUGCAUUUCUUCAUGAUGGUCGAUUUCCUUUCACCGGAUCUUACAUGUUUAAUUAUGUGUGCUCGGAACCAAAAACUGAUUGAGAUCUUCAGUUCUUACUUGCAGAUGUUCUUUUAUUCAGAGUAAUUCAGUUUCCAGUCUCUAUGUAUUAAUCAAAUUAUGGGUUAUUUUCAACCAUAUAGACUUUUAUUAUAUGUUCAGUUAUGCUUCCAUGGGUUUUGCAUAUGUAUUAACAAAACAACCAGACUGCUAUUACGUAUAUAGUUGGAUCAAAGGGUGUACAAUUAAUUUGCUCUGACGAAAGGAAUGAGUAGGCAGCUAGCAGAAUGGGAGGACAAUCAUGACAAGCGAACGAACAGAUAAAUAGUAAUCCCACAAUUUUUACAACUGCAUUCCACUUUAAUUUGGUAUGGACAUGCAUUUUUAUCCUUGGAGUACUUUGGAUUUUAAGUGGGAAUCAUUGGUUCUUUUCUUCUUAAUAUUUUACUUCUUAUAAUUACAAAUACCAAUUUUAGAGAAUUGAGCUCGUACUUAAAAUUCAAUUGAAUAUGAAGCCACUGCCCAUUGUGUGAAAGAAACAAUUAUAACAUUGUACUCUAACAAAUCACACAUAUAGAGAAAUGUUAUUUUCGAGUCUCCUUAACCUACUGAUCUUUUUUUAGAUAUAUGAAACUUUCAUUUGUUUUCUUAAUUCUUCUGCAAUGCAGGUGAUAUUCCUUGGUUGCUGCUGACGCUAAAAAAAUUACUCCUGAAGCACUAGAAGUGCCCUCUCUAUGGCGCAUCACUCACUAGAUCCAGAUGGGCAACAUUCCGCUUCAAGAUUAAAGAGUACAGUUUUUGCAUGCUAUCAUUGCUUAUCCAAGAGUAAUCUACCAUGUGCCUAAUUGUUAUGACCGGCCAUGUCUAUGGCCGCCGCAGGCCCAACAGGCAGUCUUAGGCCCGCAAGUUACCUUAGUUUUAUUCAGAUUAGGCAAGUUAUCUCAGGAUUGAUUCUUCUACAAGUUAUCUAGGAUAUAAAUAUAGAUUGUAAGACUCUUUUGGAUGGAAGCAAUAAAGACUAUUAUUAUCUUUUGUUGCCCGGCUCCUAGAGGAGCCGGAAACCCUAGCUGCCGCAACCUAGCUGCCACCGCCCUCAACCCUAGCCGCGACGGCACCCUGCCGCUGGCGCGCCCGCUCCUCGCCGCGCCCACUUCCUCUUUGCCCCUACAACCUACGCAGUAGAGCCGGUAGGAACCCUAGUCCUACCAAUUUGGUAUUCAGAGACCACGUUGUGAUCAUGUCGAUGCCGCCAUCACCGCCGCCGCUGCCCGUCCGCACCACCGCGCCCAUGACGACGGCGCCAAGCAUCACCGCGCCGACCGCAUCCGCCGGGACCUCGCUGGCGUGUCCCGUCUCCUCCUCGGCACCUCCUGCACCGGCGUCUCCGGGCGCAUCUCCACCACCACCGCUGGCCGCCUUGUCUCCGGAGCAACUCGCCGCCAUGCUACAUCACCUCGUCACCGUCGUCCACGGGCUUCAGCUCCACCAGCAAUAUGGGGCCGGCGCCUAUGCUCAACCGCCAUCGGCCCCGAUCGCCGCCCCUGGUCUUCUCCUACAGCAGCAGCCGCAGUACGGGGGCGGGGCGAGCCCCUUCGCGCCACCACCAGGAGCGUACCAGGGCGCGGCCGCGUACGGCGGGCCCCUGUUCGGGCCGAUCCAGGCGAGAUUGGCAUCCGGGCCAGCGCCGGCCGCGGCGCCCCUCUGGCCUUUGCCGCCGGCCACCUCGGCCGCCUCCUAGCUGCAGCAGCCGCCACCCACCGUCUGGCCGGUUCAGCAGAUGCCGUUCCUCGCAUGGCCGGCCCAGCAGCCGCCGCCGACGGCGUCCCAGGGCCUGCGUCCACCGCCGUUCUCCGCGCCCUCAUCAGCCGGGACCACCUCGGGCACGGCCUCGACUAUCGGGUUACUGAUCCAUCAGGUCCAGUUUCCCCCUUCCCCGUCCCCCCCUGCCAGCAUGGGCGGCGGGGUCUUCGCCUUCACCGGUCCACACCACGACCCCGGUUGAGCCGACUCCGUUUCCGCAGUUCGGCAGGCCAUCCGGCCCCGCCGGCCAGUACCCGGACUACUCCGAUCAGGCACCUCCGGCUUCACUCUUCCGAGCCCCCGCGCCUGCUCAGCACGGCGGGCCGCAGCAGACACCGCCGCUGUUCGCCAAACUCGACUUCGCCACCUACGAGGGCACGGAGGACCCCCUCAACUGGCUCAACCAGUGCGAACAGUUCUUUCGAGGGCAGCGGACACUCGCUUCAGAUCGUACCUGGCUCGCGUCCUAUCAUCUUCGAGGCGCAGCACAGACCUGGUACUACGCCCUCGAGUAGGACGAGGGCGGCAUGCCACCGUGGGAGCGCUUCCAGGAGCUCUGUCUUCUCCGUUUUGGGCCUCCUAUCCGCGGGAGCCGACUGGCGGCCCUCUGUCGUUUACCAUUCACAUCUACGGUGCAGGACUACGCCGAUCGCUUCCAGGCCCUGGCAUGCCACGCGCCGGGCGUCUCCGCGACCCAGCGCGCCGAGCUCUUUGUGGGCGGUCUGCCGGACCAUAUCCGCGUGGACGUCGAGCUCCGGGAUCCCCCCGAUCUCCAGACGGCCAUGUACUACGCCCGGGCCUUCAAGCAGCGGGUCCAGGCACUGCAGCCGCCACUCGGACGGAGUGGCCGCCAGCCCAGUCGGCCAGCACCAACUUCCUCAGCCCCGGGUCGGCCUCUCCCAUCCGCGACGGCCACAUCCCCGGCUGCCACACGGCCCUUCCGUCGGCUGUCACCGGCCGAGCAGCAGGAGCGUCGCCGUCAGGGUCUCUGCUUCAACUGCGAUGAGCCCUACACACCGACCCAUGUCUGCCCCCGCCUCUUUUAUUUAGAGACGGUCGACUACACCGAGGAGAACGACUCGCCCGAUCCGUUACAUCCGCCUGCGGCGCCCGAGGACGCGGCCGCGGAUUCCGCAGCGACGGCGUGCGUCGUCUCCCUUCACGCCCUGGCCGGCAUCCGGGGCGAGCAGACCAUGCUGCUGCCGGUGACGAUCCAUGGCGAGCGCCUGGUGGCCCUGCUAGAUACGGGCUCCACACACAACUUUCUGCCCGAAUCGACCAUGCGUCGGCUAGCCCUCCCGACGACGGGCGAGGAGCGCCUGCGGAUCACAGUGGCGAACGGUGAUCGCCUCCGGUGCCAUGGGCUAGCCCGCGACGUUCCCAUCUCCAUCGGCGACGAACACUUUUCCAUCACUUGUGCAGGGAUCGAUCUCGGCUGCUUCGACUUCAUCCUCGGGGUGGACUUUCUCCGGACCCUCGGCCCCAUCCUAUGGGAUUUCGAUGCACUCAUGAUGACAUUCUCGCGGCAGGGACGCCGCAUCCGAUGGGAGGGCAUUGGGGGCGCCGCGGCUGCCGUGCCACAUCUCCAGCUGGCUGCCGCGUCCUCGGAGGCUGAGCACCCCCUGCUGGAUUCUCUUCUGGAGCAGCACAGCGACCUCUUCGACGCUCCACGGGGUCUUCCACCUGCCCGGGUGUACGACCAUCAUAUUCACCUCAUACCAGGCUCCAGUCCGGUGGUGGUACGGCCCUACCACUACCCCCAGCUGCAGAAGGAUGAGUUGGAGCGCCAGUGUGCCCUGAUGCUCGCCGCACGCAUCAUCCGGAUCUCCACGUCACCCUUCACGGCGCCGGUGCUUCUCGUCCGUAAGUCCGACGGCACAUGGCGCUUCUGCAUCGACUACCGCGCCCUCAACGCACUCACGCUCAAGGACAAGUUCCCUAUACCGGUGGUCGACGAGCUCUUGGAUGAGCUCCAUGGGGCACGCUUCUUCACCAAGCUCGAUCUUCGGUCGGGCUAUCAUCAGGUGCGCAUGCAUCCGGACGACAUCGCCAAGACGGCGUUUCGCACCCACCAUGGCCACUUCGAGUUCUUGGUGAUGCCUUUCGGCCUCGCCAACGCCCCGACGACUUUCCAAGCCCUGAUGAACGACGUCCUUCGACCCUACUUACGGCGGUUUGUGCUUGUUUUCUUUGAUGACAUUCUUAUCUACAGCGCCACCUGGGCCGAACAUCUCCAGCACGUCGCCAUCGUCUUCAACGAGCUUCGGGCGCACCACCUCCACCUUAAGCGCUCAAAGUGCUCGUUCGAGACACCUACCGUCGCCUACCUCGGCCAUGUCAUCUCGGCCGACGGAGUGGCUAUGGACGCCGAUAAGGUGGCGGCCGUCUCCGCCUGGCCGACGCCUCACUCACCGCGGGCUCUCCGCGGGUUCCUCGGACUCGCUGGCUACUACCGGAAAUUUAUCCGGGAGUUCGGACUCAUCGCGGCGCCCCUCACGCGGUUGCUUCGCCGCGACGCCUUCGCCUGGGACGCUGAGGCGUCGACGGCAUUCGAGGCCCUCAAGGGGGCCCUCACGACGGGCCCCGUCCUCCAGAUGCCCGACUUCGACCGUCCGUUCGUGGUGGACUGUGACGCCUCGGGCACCGGGUUCGGCGCCGUACUUCAUCAGGGCGAUGGGCCCCUCGCCUUCUUCAGCCGGCCUUUCGCUCCGCGCCAUCUUAAGUUGGCCGCUUACGAGCGGGAGAUCAUUGGCCUCGUCCAGGCCGUGCGUCAUUGGCGGCCAUACUUGUGGGGGCGGACCUUCCACAUUCGCACGGACCACUACAGCCUGAAUUUCUUCCUGGAUCAACGGCUGUCGACCGUACCGCAGCACCAGUGGAUCAGCAAGCUCUUCGGCUUCGACUUCUCCGUCGAGUAUCGGCCGGGCCGUCUUAACACCGUGGCCGAGGCGCUAUCCCGUCGCGAUUCCGACCUCGCGCCAACCGCCGACGCGUCCGUCGGGACGGCCCUGUGCAUCCGCUUCGGGCCAUCGUUCGGUCUCUUCACCGACAUUCGACGCGCCACUGCGACGGCCGAUGACGCCGCACUUCUUCAGCAGCAGCUCACGGUCGGCGACUUGGAGGAGCCCUGGCGCUUCUCUGACGGACUGCUCCUGCAUGUACGCCGGAUCUUUGUUCCGGCGCAUGAUGAUCUCCGUCACCAGGUGUUGCAGCUCGCUCACUCGGCGGGCCAUGAGGGUGUGCAGAAAACCCUCCAUCGUCUUCGCGCCGACUUCUACAUCCUUGGCGAUCGUGCCCUGGUCCGCGACUGGGUUCGGUCUUGUCAGACUUGCCAGCGCAACAAGACAGAGACCCUGAGACCGGCGGGGCUCCUUCAGCCCUUGGAGGUGUCGUCUCAGGUUUGGGCGGAUAUCUCCUUGGACUUCAUCGAGGGCCUUCCCAAGGUAGGGGGCAAGUCAGUCAUCCUCACGGUGGUCGAUCGCUUCUCUAAGUACGCCCACUUCAUCGCGUUGGGCCAUCCGUACACAGCGGCAUCCGUGGCCCGGGCUUUCUUUGACGGCAUAGUCUGUCUACACGGGUUCCCGACGUCGAUCGUCAGUGAUCGGGACCCAAUCUUCACGGGCCAUGUCUGGCGCGACCUCUUCAGGAUGGCGGGUGUCCAGCUCCGCCUGAGUAUGGCGUUCCAUCCUCAGACGAACGGUCAGUCUGAGGUGGUUAACAAGGUCAUUGCCAUGUAUUUGCGUUGUGUGACAGGUGAUCGACCUCGCUCUUGGGUGGACUGGCUAUCUUGGGCGGAGUACUGCUACAACACUUCUUAUCACUCCGCCCUGCGCGCGACGCCAUUUGAGGUGGUCUAUGGUCGACCACCCCCGCCUAUACUUCCGGUCGACCCGAAGACGGCUCGGACAGCAGUAGCGGGUGACCUUAUCCGCACCCGUGAUGAGAUGCUGGCUGAGGUCCUUCAGCGUCUCCUUCAGGCCCAGCAGACGGCCAAGCACUACUACGACGAUCAUCAUCGCGAGGCGGAGUUCGCAGUGGCUGACUGGGUGUGGCUGCGUCUUCUCCACCGCUCUACGCAGUCACUGGACACGCGCGCAAAGCGCAAGCUUGGCCCUCGCUACGCCGGGCCCUUCCCUGUCGUGGAGCGCAUUGGGAAGGUGGCCUAUCGUCUUCAGCUUCCAGCCCGCGCCCGCAUCCACGACGUGUUCCAUGUGGGGCUGCUCAAACCUUUCCGUGGCGAGCCACCGGCGGCACCUCCGACGCUUCCUCCAACCGCCGAUGGUCGCAUUCUUCCAGAGCCAGCAAAGGUGUUGCAGGCUCAGCUCCGUCGUGGCGUCUGGUUCAUCCUAAUUCAGUGGGCGGGCCUUCCGGAGGAAGAGGCGACUUGGGAGCAGCGUGAGGAUUUCCGUCAACACUAUCCAGACUUUCAGCUCGAGGACGAGCUGUUUGCGCAGGCGGGGAGAGAUGUUAUGACCGGCCAGGUCUAUGGCCGCCGCAGGCCCAACAGGCAGGCUUAGGCCCACAAGUUACCUUAGUUUUAUUCAGAUUAGGCAAGUUAUCUCAGGAUUGAUUCUUCUACAAGUUAUCUAGGAUAUAAAUAUAGAUUGUAAGACUCUUUUGGAUGGAAGCAAUAAAGACUAUUAUUAUCUUUUGUUGCCCGGCUCCUAGAGGAGCCGGAAACCCUAGCCGUCGCAACCUAGCCGCCACCGCCCUCAACCCUAGCCGCGACGGCGCCCUGCCGCCGGCGCGCCCGCUCCUCGCCGCGCCCACUUCCUCUUUGCCCCUACAACCUACGCAGUAGAGCCGGUAGGAACCCUAGUCCUACCACUAAUAUAUAUACAUGAUUGUUGCACCAUCACAAGAUUUCCAUUAUAUACAUGGGCAUAACUUUCUUUACUGUGAAUUAAUCGACACGAUGCUUCUGUUUUAAGGAAUGGCAAUGCUAAAUUCUACAGUGGUACACUCUACUCUGUCGAAUGUUUACAAACACCACAAAGCUAGAGAUCUAUUGUGGAAACCUUUCUUUCUUUUGUUUGUUAUAACUUCUUAGUGUAAAAAUAAAUAUGGCUUGUCCAUUACGAAACAAAUAUGUAAGAUUUAUUACUUUUCAAAGCUGAAUUGUUCCUGACAAUUACACAUGAGAGUGCAAAGGUGAGAAGCAAAAAUUUGAAGCACGGAACAAAAAAUUCACAAACCAAUGCAUUUAGUAACCAUCGUGGUUCUUACAGGUCCUUUGCAAUCCAAAUUCCAGUUCUAUGACUUGCAAGGAAGGAUGAAGUCCAUGUCAUGAAAAUUUUAUUAUGUGGUCGCUGCCUCCUCCAGCCAUGGAUUUCAAAGGUACGCAGAUUCACCUACAACAUGCAUAUGGGAGAACUUGCAGAUCUGAAGGAAUCAAGCAUCUAGCUAAGGUGCCUGUAGCCACGAUCAGUGCUCCAUCGAGCAAUUUCUUAGGGCUGCACAGAUGCAACAACCUGGUAGAUAGGAUCAUCCUCUAUCAAAAAUAGCCAAAGGAAGAUGUCAGCAUCAGAGAUCCCAUAUAGGCCAGGAUAAUGUCAAAAUAUCUUGGCAUGGGCACGUGGCUCAUAGCCUGAACUUGAGACCGUUUACUCCAUGCUCGUGGUGGAGGCCUAGUCUCGACGGGGGCAUGGCAGUGGCGUGCGUUAGGAUUGGAUUCCGUCGAAGACCUAUGAUUGAUUUUCUAGCUGAGGCUGCGUGCGUGAGGGCUGGAGAGUCGGUUGUAGCCACGGGAUUCUGGCGGCGGCAGCGUGCGUGAGGGCAGGGGAGUCUGUAGCCCUAUUAUGUUUUUCUUCUUUGAACGAUGGACUCAGGUAAUGGGAAAACUAAUCUAUGGCAUGACCCUGUAUAUCUUAUCUUCUUUUCAUCAUGGAGUCAAGGUUUCUAAAAAAAUUAUGGCAUUGCUGAAUCGUAGAGUCAGGUGAAAGCUAUUUUGACGCAUCAUAUGCUUUAGUAGGAGUUAUCUCUACCUCUCUAUCUCUACCUAAUCUCUACCUAAUAAUAAUAAAGCAAAUUGGGUUUCUGCUUGUCCGUCAUUAGCAUUUUUUCUAAAAAGCCCCUCCCUUUUUUAGUAUUUAACACGCAGUAUAAUUUAAAGUCUGUUUCUUCCUGAGAUAAUGAUUCGUUUUUUGCAAAAAGGACCCCGGCACCACCACCACAGCCCCGCCUUAUCCACUGCCGGCCUUCACAAACGGGCAGCGGCGCGCUUGCCGCGGCGUCCGCUCCGCCCGAGCCCAGUAAUGGGGCGAGGCGUCGCGGCGGCGUUCCUGCACGCCUUGUCGGCCUUGGAGCUAGCCUUGGCGGGGGCGGGCCGAGGCGUCGCGGCGGAGGACGUUAAGCAGACGGGCACGCGCCGCCGGCGCGCUUGCCGUGGGCGUCCGCUUCGCCCGAGCCCAGGAGUGGGGCGAGAGGUCGCGCCGGCGUUCCUACACGCCUUGUCGCCCUUGAAGCUGGCCUUGGCGGGCCGAGGCGUCGCGGCGGAGGACGACAAGGCGGCCGGCGUGCUCUGUUGGGGCGACGCGUCGCGGCGCUCCGGCUCCAGCAGAUGACGGCAGAGAGCCAGGUGUGGCUUUGUGUCGCCAACAGCCACGAGGUCAUCGGCGCCGGCCACCGUGCCAGGCUGGACCAGCUGCUGCAGCCCCCCUGCGCCGUUGCCGUCGCCGUGGCACAAGAAGCGCGAGUUCCCCCUCGCUAUCGGAGGCUGGGUGUCGUUCUCUAGUGCAGAUUGUCUAAUUGAGUUUUUGAAAGCGUCGUCCACGUCUGCACUUCAUGGGUCCAUACACUGGGAACUCACGCCUGAGAACUUCCUGCUCACCAGAUUGGUUUCAGUUUCUCUGUCUCCAUCGAAGAAGGUCAGCACUUUGCCUCGAACAGUUUCAUGAUUACACUCAUGACAAGAUUUACAGUACAGUAGUCUCAUGCGUUGAGCUCAUAAUACUGCAGUACGGACAUACAUUUUCCAAGCAUAAAUUAAUGCAGAAGUUAUUGCAACAGGAGGGCCUCUAAUUGUAAUUCAUAUACACAUUUCAGCUCAAUAACCAUAUAACGCAUCUUGCCCGAGUUUGAUACUUCCGACUAUUUCCAUGUCUUUCGGGUCAAAGUUAAGUUAGCUCUAUAUACGAGCAGGCAUUUUAUUCUUUGGGAGCAAGCAAGAAUCAAUAUAUUCUCUCGCAAUAUUAUCUCCUCCUUCCCCUUGUCUUCCUAAUCCCCUGCAGAUGGCAUGACUAGGUAGGUUCAUAACAGUUGUUGUAACUAUCCGUCCGGUCAUGAAUCAACAAUUACAAUUGUUUUGACUUCUACGAUCAGUUCAGCUGCCUAUGUUGUACUGCCGCUGCCAUUUAAAGAUUUAAGUUGUCAGGUGGAUAUAGGUUCCAUUAGAUUGAAAGUAAUGAAAUUUUAUUUGCCAACCUGGCUGCACUUUGUGAUGCUUUAUCUAUGUAUAUACUUGAAGUUCAAAUGUGAUGUAUGCUUUACUCCUUAUUUGAUACUUGCAUUUGUCGCAAGCACCUUGCUGUUCUGAGUAAUGGUUGAUAUCUUACAUUUAGCCGAGAAGCUGAAAACUUACGAGUUGGAAAACCUUCUAGAUAUACCUAAAAAGACCUUGAAGAUAUCUUCUACUAGAAUGGACGAGCUGAUUGACUGGCGAUGGAGAUGCAGCAGUGACCUGCAAUUCUUUCUGUUGUGGAUGGUUCAUUUUGAAAUCUUUUUUAUAUCUGACAAGACACAAGAAAACAACAAUCUAUCCUGUUAUAUUUACCACUAUCAUCUACAGUGAGUGCUAAGUUGCCCAUAAAUUUUAGUUGACUUCUGUUCAGAGUGAUCUGAAAAAUAGAUAGCAAAAAAGAUUAGUGGGUAUUACAUUUGGAUUAGUUACAUUUGGGCAAAUAAAUGAGUAGAAGUCAAUUUUGUUUGCUUCAUGUUUCACUUCUUUGAUCUCUUCAUCAUUCUCAUUUUGUUUCAUUGCUUACCAUUUGUUCGCAUUUUUUUCUAGCAGUGGCAAGCAUGGUUAGGGCGAGCAACGAGGGUUCCUGUAGUGCAUAACCAUUUCAAGUCGCCCAUGUUCUAAAGAGAGAUCAGAAGUGCCAGCUACUGAAGCAAAAAAAAAGGACCUGAUACACAUUGUAAUCAUGGACUGCUGAUAUACCUGAUGCAUUUCUUCAUGAUGGUCGAUUUCUGUUCACCGGAUCUUACAUGUUUAAUUAUGUGUGCUCGGAACCAAAAACUGAUUGAGAUCUUCAGUUCUUACUUGCAGAUGUUCUGUUAUUCAGAGUAAUUCAGUUUCCAGUCUCUGUGUAUUAAUCAAAUUAUGGGUUAUUUUCAACCAUAUAGGCUUUUAUUAUAUGUUCAGUUAUGCUUCCAUGGGUUUUGCAUAUGUAUUAACAAAACAACCAGACUGCUAUUCUGUAUAUACUUGGAUCAAAGGGUGUACAAUUAAUUUGCUCUUACGAAAGGAAUGAGUAGGCAGAUAGCAGAAUGGGAGGACAAUCAUGACAAGCGAAGGAACACAUAAAUAGUAAUCCCACAAUUUUUACAACUGCAUUCCACUUUAAUUUGUCAUGGACAUGCAUUUUUAUCCUUGGGGUACUUUGGAUUUUAAGUGGGAAUCAUUGGUUCUUUUCUUCUUAAUAUUUUACUUCUUAUAAUUACAAAUACCAAUUUUAGAGAAUUGAGCUCGUACUUAAAAUUCAAUUGAGUAUGAAGCCACUGCCCGUUGUGUGGAAGGAACAAUUAUAACAUUGUACUCUAACAAAUCACACAUAUAGAGAAAUGUUAUUUUCGAGUCUCCUUAACCUAAUGAUCUUUUUUUAGAUAUAUGAAACUUGCAUUUGUUUUCUUAAUUCUUCUGGAAUGCAGGUGAUAUUCCUAAUGGUUGCUGCUGACGCUAAAAAAUUUACUCCUGAAGCACUAGAAGUGCCCUCUCUAUGGCGCAUCACUCACUGGAUCCAGAUGGGCAACAUUCCGCUUAAAGAUUAAAGAGCACCAUUUUUGCAUGCUAUCAUUGCUUAUCCAAGAGUAAUCUACCAUGUGCCUAAUAUAUAUACAUGAUUGUUGCACCAUCACAAGAUUUCCAUUAUAUACAUGGCCAUAACUUUCUUUACUGUGAAUUAAUCGACACGAUGCUUCUGUUUUAAGGAAUGGCAAUGCUAAAUUCUACAGUGGUACUCUCUACUCUGUCGAAUGUUUACAAACACCACAAAGCUAGAGAUCUAUUGUGGAAAC